GUGAUAAAGUACAACCAUCAUAUUUUGCCGGGAAUCCAUACAAAGGAGAGAGGAAAAUAAUGGGAACAAAGAAAUAAGAGGGAUUUUACAACAUUAAGGCUAAAAUAAAUAUUAGUGGUUCUAAACUAGUGCAGCCUGAAACUUUUAGGCUGUGUUUGGUUGACUUGCUAAAGUUGUUUUUCUGUUUUUUACAAUAGCGAAAAAAGCAAGCACAAAAAAAGCA
rnacentral:misc_RNA from 1 species